AAUAUGAAGGUUUGUGUGCGGUGAAGACGUGCAGUACGAGAGACAGCCUCGGGGAAUAGUGUGUAUCGCAUGACGGAGUGGAGGCUGCAAUUAGAGCAUCUACCGAUGUUGAUUUUGAAACAUAGCCCAAAAAGGUGUGCUCUAAUUUACUACCUAUCAGCACCAGGUGUUUAUUUCUACUGAACUGAAUCAUAUCACCGUGGAAACUGAUGAAUAACAUUGAAUUACAAGCUCUCUGUCUUUUCACAGCUGGCAGGAAAAUAUUACUGAAAGGAAAUUCCUCUGAAACUUGUGUCCUUGAACUGUGCUUGUUGUGGUGAGUUUUUGUGUAAUGAAGCGAUGAAGCUCUGAUAAAAGGGUCACGGGGAACCUGGAGCCUAUCCCAGGGAGCAUCGGGCACAAGGCGGGGUACACCCUGGACAGGGUGCCAAUCCAUAGCAGGGGGUAUAAAUAUGAGGCUACACAUAAGCCAAAUUCCCCUAGUCAUUCACAACAAUGAUUAAGACCAAGGAAUAUAGCUGUGAUGUGCAGCAAAAGGUUGUUGAGCUUCACAAAAUGGGAAGUGGCUUUAAGAAAAUAGCACAAGCAUUGAAAAUGCCCAUUUCCGCCAUCAGGGCUAUAAUUAAGACGUUUCAGUCAACUGGAAAUGUUAUCAAUCAACCUGGAAGAGGACGUGUGUCUAUAUCGUCUCAACGCACUGUGAAGAGGAUUGUUUGAGUGGCCAAAAAAUCUCUAAGGAUCACAGAUGGAGAAUUGCGAAUUGGAUCAGAAAGUCCCCAAAACUACAAUCUGAAGUCACCUACAUCACCACAAGCUGUUUGGAAGGAUUUCAAGAAAAAAGCCUCUACUCUCAUCCAAAAACAAACUCAAGCAUCUUCAGUUUCCCAGAAACUACUGGAACUUCAAAUGGGAUCGGGUUCUAUGGUCAGAUGAAACCAAAAUAGAGCUUUUUGGUAAUAAACACAGAGGUGGUUUUUGGCGAACACAGAGAGGUAGCCAUAUGGAAAAGUACCUCAUGCCCACGGUUAAAUAUGGUGGAGGCUGUUUUGUGGCUGUUUUUCUGCCAGAGGACCUGGACAUUUUGUUAGGACACAUGGCAUCAUGGACUCUAUCAAAUAUCAACAGAUAUUAAAUGAAAACCUGACUGUCCAAUGCAGAUUUGUGAUUUGUGUAUAUCACUUUCAUCCAAUCAUCCACACUCCAUGAUUGCUUCCCUUUAGCCCAGUGUAACCUUGUUUUCUUCUGUUUAGGUAUUAGUGCUGGUUUUCAUUUGGCUUUUCUCUAUAUAAAUCCCAUUUCAUACAGCCAAUUUCUUACAGUUCUGUCACAAAGAUUGACUCCUGUUUCCACCCAUUUGUUUUUCAUUUUUUUAGUUGUGCAUUUUCUAUUUUUGAGUCAUAUUGCUUUGACUUUUCUAUCCUGACGUUUGCCAUCUUGCUUGGUAUACCUGUAUGUUUUCCUUUUAUAACCUUCCCAUUUUGUUUAUACUUGCACCAAAUUUUUGACACAGCUGACUGGGACCAACCAACAUCUUUUGCCAUACUCUGUGUUGGAUUUACACAGAGUUUUAUAAUCCUUUCCAUUGUUUCAAUUGACAACCCUGUUGUUGCAGCUAUGUUUCCUUUCAGAAAGUCCAAGGUUAAGCUCUGCAAGUGCUCUCUUUUAACUGCAGACUUAUUAGCAUUUUUUGACAUGUGCUGGUAUUUGUUUUAGAAAUGGAAAUUACAAGGUGAUUCCAUGUUUUGUUCCUCAACAUAGAGUGAUUCCAUAUUUUUUAUCUCUGAAAAAACAAUAUGCCAUUAAUUAAAAUAAUUCAGGUUCAUUUGUUUGAGGUAUGUUUCACUAAGCCAGAAUGUUCACCUAUUAAACAAUGACACAAAACAA